rnacentral:rRNA from 1 species
CCUACGGGACGCUGCAGGCGAGAAAACUUUGCAAUGUGCGAAAGCACGACAAGGUUAAUCCGAGUGGUUUCUGCUAAAGAAACCUUUUGUUAGUCCUAGAAACACUGAUGAAUAAGGGGUGGGCAAGUUCUGGUGUCAGCCGCCGCGGUAAAACCAGCACCUCAAGUGGUCAGGAUGAUUAUUGGGCCUAAAGCAUCCGUAGCCGGCUAUGUAAGUUUUCGGUUAAAUCUGUGCGCUUAACGUACAGGCUGCCGGGAAUACUGCAUAGCUAGGAAGUGGGAGAGGUAGACGGUACUCGGUAGGAAGGGGUAAAAUCCUUUGAUCUAUUGAUGACCACCUGUGGCGAAGGCGGUCUACCAGAACACGUUCGACGGUGAGGGAUGAAAGCUGGGGGAGCAAACCGGAUUAGAUACCCCUGUAGUC